rnacentral:rRNA from 1 species
CCUACGGGUGGCAGCAGUGGGGAAUAUUGGACAAUGGGGGCAACCCUGAUCCAGCCAUGCCGCGUGUGUGAAGAAGGCCCUCGGGUUGUAAAGCACUUUCAGUGAGGAAGAACGCCUGGUGGUUAAUACCCAUCAGGAAAGACAUCACUCACAGAAGAAGCACCGGCUAACUCCGUGCCAGCAGCCGCGGUAAUACGGAGGGUGCGAGCGUUAAUCGGAAUUACUGGGCGUAAAGCGCGCGUAGGUGGCUUGAUAAGCCGGUUGUGAAAGCCCCGGACUCAACCUGGGAACGGCAUCCGGAACUGUCAAGCUAGAGUGCAGGAGAGGAAGGUAGAAUUCCCGGUGUAGCGGUGAAAUGCGUAGAGAUCGGGAGGAAUACCAGUGGCGAAGGCGGCCUUCUGGACUGACACUGACACUGAGGUGCGAAAGCGUGGGUAGCAAACAGGAUUAGAUACCCCAGUAGUC